rnacentral:rRNA from 1 species
UACGGAGGGUGCAAGCGUUAUCCGGAUUCACUGGGUUUAAAGGGUGCGUAGGUGGGCAAGUAAGUCAGUGGUGAAAUCUCCGGGCUUAACCCGGAAACUGCCCAUUGAUACUAUUUGUCUUGAAUACUGUGGAGGUCAGCGGAAUAUGUCAUGUAGCGGUGAAAUGCUUAGAUAUGACAUAGAACACCAAUUGCGAAGGCAGCUGGCUACACAAUUAUUGACACUGAGGCACGAAAGCGUGGGGAUCAAACAGGAAUUAGAUACCCG